rnacentral:ncRNA from 1 species
CGGAGCCGCAGCGAAAGCGAGUCUGAAUAGGGCGCUUUAGUACGUGGACGUAGACCCGAAACCGUGUGAUCUACCCCUGUCCAGGGUGAAGGUGAGGUAACACUCACUGGAGGCCCGAACCCACGCAUGUUGAAAAAUGCGGGGAUGAGGUGGGGGUAGCGGAGAAAUUCCAAUCGAACUCGGAGAUAGCUGGUUCUCCCCGAAAUAGCUUUAGGGCUAGCCUCGGAUGUGGAGUUGUGGAGGUAAAGCACUGAUUGGGUGCGGGGCCCGCCAAGGGUUACCAAGUCCAGUCAAACUCUGAAUGCCACAAACUUAAAUCCGGGAGUCAGACAGUGAGUGCUAAGAUCCAUUGUCAAAAGGGAAACAGCCCAGACCAUCAGCUAAGGUCCCCAAGUGUGUGUUAAGUGGGAAAGGAUGUGGAGUUGCACAGACAACCAGGAUGUUGGCUUAGAAGCAGCCACCAUUGAAAGAGUGCGUAAUAGCUCACUGGUCGAGUGACUCUGCGCCGAAAAUGUAACGGGGCUAAACACGCCACCGAAGCUAUGGCUUGCACAAUGUGCAUGGGUAGGGGAGCGUUGUAUGUACGU